CCCUCACAGCAUGUGUAUUUUACACAUACGCACCUCCAUGUCCGAUCUCACGCAAUUCGGCACAUAAAAUAUUAGAUCUUUUCGCGAUUUAACCGUUUUGCCAAUUUGACCUCUCAGCGAUAACUUUGCAAAUACCGGAGAUCCAUCCGUCGAAUUUUCGAUCCGACAGUACCAUUGCGUUCGGCACGUCGGGUGCAUCGAAUCUAGCAUUUCGUUUCGUCCAAUUUGACCCCCGAUUCACGACGAAAUCCGUCCGCUCUCCAAUUUCAAAAACCACACACAUAUAUCGAUGUGUAAUCCCGCUAAAUCCUUAAUUCAAAUUCAAAUUUGAAUCUCCUACCACUAGUAGGUACAU
rnacentral:lncRNA from 1 species